rnacentral:lncRNA from 1 species
UCUUGGUGAAUUGGUGAAUUGAACUUCUUUUAGAAAGUAAAUAGAUAGAAGCAUUUUAUUGUAUUGAAAACUGAAUUUUAUAUAUAUAUAUAUAUAUAUUUAUUUAUUUAAAACGCAGAGCUACAGAGAGAAAGGGAGAGACAGAAUCCACUAGUUCACUCCCCAAAUGGCUGCAAUGGCCAAUACUAGUCCAGGCCAAAGCCAAGAGCCAGGGACUUCAUCUGGGGUUCCCAAGCUGGUAUAGGGGUCCAAGUACUCAGACCAUCUUCUGUUAUUUUUCCCAGGCCUUUAGCAGGGAGUUGGAAUGGAGCUGGAAAAGCCAGGAAUUGAACUGGAGCCCAUGCGGAGAGCCUGCAUCUCAGGUGGUGCCUUAACCCACAGCGCCACAGUGCCAGCCCUGAAUGCAAGUUUCAUUACACUCAGAGGAUAUGAUAGAAGGAACUCAAAGAAUAGCACAUGGUGGCAGAUGAUUGGGAUUUGCAAGGGGGAUUUUAACCUCGACAGUUUAACCCACAGUGAGGUCAUGGAUCCAGUUUGCCAAGGGACUAAGUCAACGCUCCAGCCCAAGGCUCAUGGGAGCCUGGCACCGACUGGGGCUCUGCAGACCAGAUUCAGAGGAAGGGAGACUUGACCUCUGCCAGAGGAGGCAGAUCCCAGUGAGCAGCACAUCUCAGUGGAUGUCGGACACACCCCCUCCUUGCUCUGAUCACCCUGAAAGUCUAAUGAACCAGAUACUGUGUCUGCCAACCGCGUUGUGCAUGCUGCAUUCAGCAUCCGGAUUUUUGGUGCUGUGCCAGUCUUAAUGAAGCUGUCUUCUUGUUUUCUGAAUAGCUGUGGACACCUAAGGGCAUGACGACCGAGCAAGGGUGUGCUAUGAUGCUAGACCAUCGCACGGGCUGGACGGGUCGUGGCAUGAGUCGGGUUAAUGUGAAGUGAUGGGGCUUCUUGAGUCCAGUCUCCCACUGCUCCUUUAAGAGAAGAGAAGCAAUGGGAGACUGCUGGCUUUUUGGCAUUGGCUCACAAGAAUUACACGUCUGCAAGAAAACACAAGUUUGUAUUGCAUGACUCAUGUUGAAUAAAAACAAGUUUGUAUUCA